GGGGAGCAGCCCAGAGCCUGAAUCAGUGUGUGUGUUAGUGGAAGCGUCUGGAAAGGCGCGCGAUACAGGGUGACAGCCCCGUACACAAAAAUGCACAUACUGUGAGCUCGAUGAGUAGGGCGGGACACGUGGUAUCCUGUCUGAAUAUGGGGGGACCAUCCUCCAAGGCUAAAUACUCCUGACUGACCGAUAGUGAACCAGUACCGUGAGGGAAAGGCGAAAAGAACCCCGGCGAGGGGAGUGAAAAAGAACCUGAAACCGUGUACGUACAAGCAGUGGGAGCCUCUUAAUGGGGUGACUGCGUACCUUUUGUAUAAUGGGUCAGCGACUUAUAUUCUGUAGCAAGGUUAACCGAAUAGGGGAGCCGAAGGGAAACCGAGUCUUAACUGGGCGUUAAGUUGCAGGGUAUAGACCCGAAACCCGGUGAUCUAGCCAUGGGCAGGUUGAAGGUUGGGUAACACUAACUGGAGGACCGAACCGACUAAUGUUGAAAAAUUAGCGGAUGACUUGUGGCUGGGGGUGAAAGGCCAAUCAAACCGGGAGAUAGCUGGUUCUCCCCGAAAGCUAUUUAGGUAGCGCCUCGUGAAUUCAUCUCCGGGGGUAGAGCACUGUUUCGGCAAGGGGGUCAUCCCGACUUACCAACCCGAUGCAAACUGCGAAUACCGGAGAAUGUUAUCACGGGAGACACACGGCGGGUGCUAACGUCCGUCGUGAAGAGGGAAACAACCCAGACCGCCAGCUAAGGUCCCAAAGUCAUGGUUAAGUGGGAAACGAUGUGGGAAGGCCCAGACAGCCAGGAUGUUGGCUUAGAAGCAGCCAUCAUUUAAAGAAAGCGUAAUAGCUCACUGGUCGAGUCGGCCUGCGCGGAAGAUGUAACGGGGCUAAACCAUGCACCGAAGCUGCGGCAGCGACACUAUGUGUUGUUGGGUA
rnacentral:rRNA from 1 species